UACCCGCAGCACAAGUGGUGGUCAUUAUUAUUGGGCCUAAAGCGUCCGUAGCUGGCUUGUUAGAUGCCUGGGUAAAUCGAUGCGCUCAACGCAUCGAACUCCGGGUAGACCGGCAAGCUUGGGACCGGGAGAGGCGUGAGCUACUCGAGGGGUAGGGGUAAAAUCCUGUAAUCCUUCGGGGAGGACCAGUGGCGAAGGCGACUUACUGGACACAUAUUGACGCUGAGGUGCGAAAGCGUAGGGAGCAAACAGG
rnacentral:rRNA from 1 species